GAUGAACGCUGGCGGCGUGCCUAAUACAUGCAAGUCGAGCGAACGGACGAGAAGCUUGCUUCUCUGAUGUUAGCGGCGGACGGGUGAGUAACACGUGGAUAACCUACCUAUAAGACUGGGAUAACUUCGGGAAACCGGAGCUAAUACCGGAUGAUAUUUUGAACCGCAUGGUUCAAAAGUGAAAGACGGUCUUGCUGUCACUUAUAGAUGGAUCCGCGCUGCAUUAGCUAGUUGGUAAGGUAACGGCUUACCAAGGCAACGAUGCAUAGCCGACCUGAGAGGGUGAGCGGCAACAAUGGAACUGAGACCCGGUCCAGACGACUACGGGAGGGAGCAGGAGGGAAUGGUCCGCAAUGGGCGAAAGCCUGACGGAGUAACGCAGAGUGAGUGAUGAAGGUCUUAGGAUAGUAAAACUCUGUUAGUAGGGAAGAACAAAUGUGUAAGUAACUGUGCACAGCUUGACGGUACAUAAUCAGAAAGCCAAGGAUAACUACGUG
rnacentral:rRNA from 1 species